CGCCGGGACCCCGCCGAGCGGCAGGAAGCCCUUGGAACAGGAUGUAAAAGCAGCACUUUCCAUCCAGCCUGACAUCCUGCUUCCAGAUGCAGAAGGCUGAGCAGGCCACCAGGAUCACAUUUAAAUGGCUGUGGCCAUGAUGUUCCAAUUUGAAACCUGGACUCCACCAACUUCCAUACUCAUCCCUUGCUCUCAGCCCUCUCCCUCCCCUGUCCAGGUCCUCAGGAUGAUCUGAGAAAUAUGUUACACUUUUCUUCCUCGCUAGAUGUCAACACGUUGGAAGGCAGGGACCUUGCCAUAUUAAUCCUUAGGGCCUUGGGUUCUGCUGUAGUAAAGACUCAAAAAAUGUUGGGUAAAAUUAAUUUUA
rnacentral:lncRNA from 1 species